rnacentral:tRNA from 1 species
AAAUAAGAAGCGAUACUUGCACUCAAUUUCGGCUUGAAUUUAGUUUUUAGAAACCUUAUUUU